UGCGGUUUUGUGACAUGAGCAUGUAGUUUAAACAAUGUCGUCAAUAGUGUUAGAAAGAAGCUAUCAAAAAUGAUUUAGAACCUUAUACUACACAUACGGAGGUACAUGUAUGAUACCAUGACAGGUGAACGUAUGAUAUAACUGUGAAAUAGCCAUUGUAAUUGCCACGUUAUUUUAUGGAUCGUUGAUUUUAUUACCUUUGGAUUAUUGGCACGUGCCAUCGAACUUAAUCUUUAUAGACCGAAUAUUAACGCAUACAUACGUUACUUUUACAGUUGAGAAGGAAAAGACGAAGAAGAAUUAUUUAUAAUAGUGCAAUCUGAAAAAACAAAUAAAUACAUAUUUUAUAUCAAAUAAGUUUUUUAUUCAAAUGAAAGAAAGGAUAAGCGCAUUUACAAAAAGAUGUACUAAGACAUAUACUCGAUGCUGAACUUAAAAUUAGGUUAUAUUGUUUUAAUCUAUGAGGAUCUGGAGGGGGGUCCUUCAUUUCUGUAUUCUUUAAUGUUUAGUUUUUUCUUUAUACUUUUUGUCUAUUAUUAUCAAUUCUUUAUAUUCAAGCACCUUAUUAUUCUCCAUUCUUUAUAUUUUUUUCCAUUUUCUCUAUUAUUCAUAUUUAUAGCCGAUCAUUCUCUUUUCUGUAAAACCUAUCGACAUCCUUCUCUUUCCGAUGGUAUGUUAUUUAUAGUUUUAACACUCUCACUUCACGGCCUUAGAGCAGUUUCAGAAGCUUAGUUCAAACGGAGACAUGGUUCCCUGAUGCGGCCUGAUGAGGAUAACGAAAUUAACGAUAUAAAUUAUCUGACAUAUAAAAUACUUGUAUUUUGCGUUGAUCGUUCCAGAUGAAGUAAAAUCCAGAAACGUGAUUUGGACGUAUGAAAUUUAUAAGAUGUUGUUGUCACUCUUUUGUUAGUGUUACGUCCAAAAUUUGCAAUUACUUUUUUCAAAGAAUAAGUAGAUAAAUACAUAAAUUAACACCAGAAAAUAAAAAAAAAAUAAAAUAAAUCAGAAACAGUUAUUGGCGAAUAAUUUAUUUCUACAACAAAACAAGCUAACACAACUGUAUAAUAUAUAAUUUAUUCUCUUAUACCUUAAACAAAGACCAACAGAAAUAAAAAGCCAACGAAUGAUUUUAUGUUUAAUAAUUCAAAAUAAUAUACAUUUUUUAUUCUAGCAUUUAUAAUACAAUGUAUCAUCCACAUAAAGGGGCGUAACUCCUAAUAUCAUUCUAACACACUAAACGGAUCUUAACCCGAUCUGAAAGUUUU
rnacentral:lncRNA from 1 species